rnacentral:lncRNA from 1 species
GAAUACCGAGUUGCGGAGUUUGCUGCGUGGGAGUAUCAAAUAAAGAGAUGCUUAAUUCUAUGUGAGUUUCGUUCUGCUUGAAACCUUCGUUUACGAUAUUUUUUUUCUUUUAAAUUUUAAGCAUUCUAAUUAUUGCUUAGCUAACGAGGAGGCAGAUUAUCACAAAAAUGAGGGUCAACAAGUCUGCUCUAGCAUUUUAAGGUGCACCAAAUUUUAGGUAUCAGCUGUCCCGAAGAUUAGUGAAAUCUAGUUGACUCUAUGAACACCAAGAAAUUCCCAAGUUGGAGCUAUGGAUUUUAAAAUGCAAAGUUGCAUGGAGAGGUACGGAGAGUUAAAGUUUAUGUUGGUUGUUUCAUGGAAACAAAUUUAUAAAAUUUAUAGGUCUUUGGGUUAGGCAGGAGAUGUAUAUACUAGUCGUUGCAGGACAGAUGAAGAUGGAGAUAGAGGAAGAGGAGGGAAGGGAAGAGAAGAAGAGAAAACAAAGGAAAAGCACAACUCAAUGUUUUACAUUCUUAAAUAUUAAUAAUUCAAACUAUAUUCUUAACUAAUAUAUUAAUGGAUUUAUAUAGACAAUCUAGAAUUUUAAUAAAAGUCUGCAUAGAAAUAAUAUACUGAAAUCCCUUAUUAAAUUGUAGUCCUAGAAUCCACAUAAAAAUAAUUUUUCUUACUUUUUAUAUUAACUUAUCGGAAGUGUAUCGUAAUUUUUUAUUAGAAUUGGUUUCUAGUUCCUAACCAAGUGUACAAGAACUUUUUCUGCACAAAUAAUAAAAAUAAAGAUCGAAAACAUGCUAACUGCUCAAGAAUCUUGUUCAUCACAUGUUGCGAAGUCUAAGAACCCUACCUAUAUUAUCUAGCAAUUACAAAUCUGCUCAUCGUAAAGGCUGCAGACUUCGAUAAGAAAAUUAAUGCACAAGGGAGCUCUGCAUUAAGCACCAACGACACACAGCUUAAUGCCAUUAGAGACUAAGACACUACUAAGCUAAUUUUGUAUAAAAAGUUUUUCUUUCAAUCGGAAUUUGCAACGCAUACUUCGGAUAUAAAAUUUUGCACCUCGCAUGGCACAACAACUCCACUGUAGAUGGUCCCUACAUGUUGUUGGUUGAGAAAAAAAUGAGACUAUUGGGUGUCAAAAAGUGGAUGCAUGGACUAUUUUUCCUGCCUAUCCUAGUUGUUGGUGCCUUGGUGGUUUGGUACUAAAUUAUAAAACCAAUAAGUAUUAAAGGUUGGGACCAUUCCUUUUUGUCCUUUCCGAAGUGGGACUUUCAUUCAUUAAAGUAUCUUUUUACAUCUUAAUGCUUAAGACUUCCAAUCUAAACAAACAUUAAUUACUCAAAUAAUUGAUCAUAUUAUAUUGAUCAAUUAAGAAGCAAAGGUCGAAUUGUCGUGGUUUGGGGACCAUAUGGCUCUGGAAGAGUGGCAAGAGGCUAUAUGAGGCCAGUUCAUUAUAAACAAUGCUCAUGGUUGUAGAAAAAGUUUCUCACCAACAUUAAAAUCUCUCCACACCUGUACUACAGUAUCAAUGCUUUCGGACAUAAUUUUCCAUCGAAUGAAGACAAGUAGUACUUAAGAGUUUUGAGAAGGUAUUUGCAACAGCCACAAGCUUUAUGAAAUUGGUUGACAUGCAAUAGCAUUUACAUAGCUUGAUGGAUAACUGCUGAAAGCAUCUAAGUAGUAAGCCCACCCCAAAAUAAGUACUCCCCUAUUCCGACUUUCCUAGAGCCUCCAAUAGCACAGCCGAGACAGCGACGGGUUCAAUACAAAUUCGACAAACAACAAUCUCUUCCCCAGCCUUCAAAGGAAGGGAAAGACCAGGGCAUAGAACCUGAUUUUUUUGAGCACCAACUAUACUGCAAGUAGCAGACUUUAUGUGCCUAAUAUCCUACCCAGUUGCUCCAACCCUUGAGGUGAAUGGGAAGGAAAAUUAUUCCAAUCAUUCACUAAAAACAAAAGAGAUCCAACCAAAGGGGAUGAGGAAGAACCGAAGUUAGGAGAAGAGAAAAAUGUGGAAAUAAGAUAUACCAAUCAGCUUUCUGGCCCUCCUAAAACUCUUCCUAGUCCUAGGAUUGGACAUUAGGGACAAGUCUUCAAUUAUGCAAAGAGCGAAUCUCAGAACAGAUUGGAUGGAAGAUGAUUUCUGUAGAAAGAUUCGAGCCUUUAACUCUCACAGUUACUCCAAUAAAGAAGCAAUCACAAGCUGGUCCCAUGCUAAUCUAAAGGAUCUUUAAACUCGUUUUAUCUCCAGAAAGUCCAGAGAGAACAAGUUGGCUGGGUGACCAUUCAGCAUGAGUAAAGAUUCCAGGACGCUCCACAAUUUUUCAGAUAAAGGACAAUGAAGGAGAAGAGCAUGGUCAACCUCUGGCCAUAAAAAUUCCCUCGGAGAUUUUAUGCAAGGAAAUAGCACAAAUUUCCAGCCCACCAUAACUUCCAACAGCACUCAACAUGCAUAUGCUAGAACAAACAAGAUCCAAUAACACAAAAUGGCUCCAAGG